CCUACGGGAGGCAGCAGUAGGGAAUAUUGCUCAAUGGGGGAAACCCUGAUGCAGCAACGCCGCGUGGAUGAUGACGGUCUUCGGAUUGUAAACCUCUUUCGUCAGAGACGAUAAUGACGGUACCUAAGGAAUAAGCACCGGCUAACUCCGUGUCAGCAGCCGCGGUAAUACGGAGGUGGCGAGCGUUGUCCGGAUUUACUGGGCGUAAAGGGCGCGUAGGCGGGCUUUUAAGUGAGAUGUGAAAUACUCGGGCUUAACUUGAGUGCUGCAUUUGAAACUGGAAGUCUAGAGUGCAGGAGAGGAGAGUGGAAUUCUUGGUGUAGCGGUGAAAUGCGUAGAGAUCAAGAAGAAUACUCGUGGCGAAGGCGA
rnacentral:rRNA from 1 species